rnacentral:rRNA from 1 species
UACGGAGGGGGCUAGCGUUGUCCGGAAUUACUGGGCGUAAAGCGCACGUAGGCGGCUUUGUAAGUUAGAGGUGAAAGCCCGGGGCUCAACUCCGGAAUUGCCUUUAAGACUGCAUCGCUAGAAUUGUGGAGAGGUAAGUGGAAUUCCGAGUGUAGAGGUGAAAUUCGUAGAUAUUCGGAAGAACACCAGUGGCGAAGGCGACUUACUGGACACAUAUUGACGCUGAGGUGCGAAAGCGUGGGGAGCAAACGGG